rnacentral:rRNA from 1 species
CCCGUGACUGCGUACCUUUUGUAUAAUGGGUCAGCGACUUAUAUUCUGUAGCAAGGUUAACCGAAUAGGGGAGCCGGAGGGAAACCGAGUCUUAACCGGGCGUUAAGUUGCAGGGUAUAGACCCGAAACCCGGUGAUCUAGCCAUGGGCAGGUUGAAGGUUGGGUAACACUAACUGGAGGACCGAACCGACUAAUGUUGAAAAAUUAGCGGAUGACCUGUGGCU